UACGGGGGGGGCAAGCGUUGUUCGGAAUUACUGGGCGUAAAGGGCCAGUAGGCGGCCAACUAAGUCCGACGUGAAAUCCCAAGGCUUAACCUUGGAACUGCGUCGGAUACUGGAUGGCUUGAAUUCGGGAGAGGGAUGCAGAAUUCCAGGUGUAGCGGUGAAAUGCGCAGAUAUCAGGAAGAACACCCGUGGCUAAGGCGGCUCUCUAGUACGGUACUGACGCUGAGACGCGAAAGCGUGGGGAGCGAACAGG
rnacentral:rRNA from 1 species